GGAAGAAAAACCAUAUAGUUCUAGUAAUACGGUCUAGAAGUUUCUACAAACUACCCGCAAAGUAGUUUACUAUGGCAGAGGUCG
rnacentral:ncRNA from 1 species